GCCCUGUUACGAUGUCGAUUUGGAGGUUGUGCCCUUGAGGCGUGGCUUCCGAAGCUAACGCGUUAAAUCGACCGCCUGGGGAGUACGGCCGCAAGGUUAAAACUCAAAUGAAUUGACGGGGGCCCGCACAAGCGGUGGAGCAUGUGGUUUAAUUCGAUGCAACGCGAAGAACCUUACCUACUCUUGACAUCCAGCGAAUCCUGUAGAGAUACGGGAGUGCCUUCGGGAACGCUGAGACAGGUGCUGCAUGGCUGUCGUCAGCUCGUGUUGUGAAAUGUUGGGUUAAGUCCCGCAACGAGCGCAACCCUUAUCCUUUGUUGCCAGCGGUUCGGCCGGGAACUCAAAGGAGACUGCCAGUGAUAAACUGGAGGAAGGUGGGGAUGACGUCAAGUCAUCAUGGCCCUUACGAGUAGGGCUACACACGUGCUACAAUGGCGUAUACAAAGAGAAGCGAACUCGCGAGAGCAAGCGGACCUCAUAAAGUACGUCGUAGUCCGGAUUGGAGUCUGCAACUCGACUCCAUGAAGUCGGAAUCGCUAGUAAUCGUGGAUCAGAAUGCCACGGUGAAUACGUUCCCGGGCCUUGUACACACCGCCCGUCACACCAUGGGAGUGGGUUGCAAAAGAAGUAGGUAGCUUAA
rnacentral:rRNA from 1 species